rnacentral:rRNA from 1 species
UACGUAGGGGGCAAGCGUUGUCCGGAUUUAUUGGGCGUAAAGAGCGUGUAGGCGGUUUGGUAGGUCCGUUGUGAAAACUCGAGGCUCAACCUCGAGACGCCGGCGGAAACCAUCAGGCUAGAGUCCGGAAGGGGAGAGUGGAAUUCCUGGUGUAGCGGUGAAAUGCGCAGAUAUCAGGAGGAACACCAAUGGCGAAGGCAGCUCGCUGGGACGGUACUGACGCUGAGACGCGAAAGCGUGGGGAGCAAACAGG